UACAGAGGUCCCGAGCGUUGUUCGGAUUCAUUGGGCGUAAAGGGUGCGUAGGCGGCGGAGUAAGUUGGGUGUGAAAUCCCGGGGCUCAACCUCGGAAUGGCAUUCAAUACUGCUUCGCUAGAGUACUGGAGAGGAGGCUGGAAUUUACGGUGUAGCAGUGAAAUGCGUAGAUAUCGCUUGGAACGCCGAAGGUGAAAACAGGCUGCUGGGGUUGCGCCGACGCUGAGACACGAAAGCCAGGGGAGCAAACGGG
rnacentral:rRNA from 1 species